AUUAAAGCGGUACGCGAGCUGGGUUUAGAACGUCGUGAGACAGUUCGGUCCCUAUCUGCCGUGGGCGCAGGAUACUUGAGAGGAGCUGUUCAUAGUACGAGAGGACCUGAAUGGACACACCUCUAGUGUUCCGGUUGUCACGCCAGUGGCAUCGCCGGGUAGCUAUGUGUGGAACGGAUAACCGCUGAAAGCAUCUAAGCGGGAAGCCGGCCUCAAGAUUAGGUAUCCCGAGGCGUAAGCCUCCUGAAGGCCCCUUCUAGACUAGGAGGUGAUAGGCUGGGUGUGGAAGCGCAGCAAUGCGUGAAGCUAACCAGUACUAAUCGGCCGUGUGGCUUUUCCUU
rnacentral:rRNA from 1 species